rnacentral:rRNA from 1 species
UGGCGGACGGGUGAGUAACGCGUGGGUAACCUGCCCUGUACAGGGGGAUAACAGCUGGAAACGGCUGCUAAUACCGCAUAAGCGCACGAGGAGACAUCUCCUUGUGUGAAAAACUCCGGUGGUACAGGAUGGGCCCGCGUCUGAUUAGGUAGUUGGUGCGGUAACGGCGCACCAAGCCGACGAUCAGUAGCCGACCUGAGAGGGUGACCGGCCACAUUGGGACUGAGACACGGUCCAAACUCCUACGGGAGGCAGCAG